UACGGAGGGGGCAAGCGUUGUUCGGAAUUACUGGGCGUAAAGGGCGCGCAGGCGGCUGCUCAAGUCAGGCGUGAAAGGCCUGGGCUCAACCCGGGAAUUGCGCUUGAGACUGGGCUGGCUUGAGUGCGGGAGAGGAUGGUGGAAUUCCCAGUGUAGAGGUGAAAUUCGUAGAUAUUGGGAAGAACACCGGUGGCGAAGGCGGCCAUCUGGACCGCAACUGACGCUGAGGUGCGAAAGCGUGGGGAGCAAACAGG
rnacentral:rRNA from 1 species